rnacentral:rRNA from 1 species
CUGUGCUGCUUUUCUUAACAUUGCAGUCGAACGAUGAUCCCAGCUUGCUGGGGGAUUAGUGGCGAACGGGUGAGUAACACGUGAGUAACCUGCCCUUGACUCUGGGAUAAGCCUGGGAAACUGGGUCUAAUACCGGAUAUGACUCCUCAUCGCAUGGUGGGGGGUGGAAAGCUUUUGUGGUUUUGGAUGGACUCGCGGCCUAUCAGCUUGUUGGUGGGGUAAUGGCCUACCAAGGCGACGACGGGUAGCCGGCCUGAGAGGGUGACCGGCCACACUGGGACUGAGACACGGCCCAGACUCCUACGGGAGGCAGCAGUGGGGAAUAUUGCACAAUGGGCGCAAGCCUGAUGCAGCGACGCCGCGUGAGGGAUGACGGCCUUCGGGUUGUAAACCUCUUUCAGUAGGGAAGAAGCGUAAGUGACGGUACCUGCAGAAGAAGCGCCGGCUAACUACGUGCCAGCAGCCGCGGUAAUACGUAGGGCGCAAGCGUUAUCCGGAAUUAUUGGGCGUAAAGAGCUCGUAGGCGGUUUGUCGCGUCUGCUGUGAAAGACCGGGGCUCAACUCCGGUUCUGCAGUGGGUACGGGCAGACUAGAGUGCAGUAGGGGAGACUGGAAUUCCUGGUGUAGCGGUGAAAUGCGCAGAUAUCAGGAGGAACACCGAUGGCGAAGGCAGGUCUCUGGGCUGUAACUGACGCUGAGGAGCGAAAGCAUGGGGAGCGAACAGGAUUAGAUACCCUGGUAGUCCAUGCCGUAAACGUUGGGCACUAGGUGUGGGGGACAUUCCACGUUUUCCGCGCCGUAGCUAACGCAUUAAGUGCCCCGCCUGGGGGAGUACGGCCGCAAGGCUAAAACUCAAAGGAAUUGACGGGGGCCCGCACAAGCGGCGGAGCAUGCGGAUUAAUUCGAUGCAACGCGAAGAACCUUACCAAGGCUUGACAUGAACCGGAAAGACCUGGAAACAGGUGCCCCGCUUG